ACACGCGGUUUUCUCGUACGAUCACCGAAGUUAAGCAGCGUAGAGCCAGGUCAGUACUUAGAUGGGGGACCGCUUGGGAACACCUGGUACUGUAAGC